AUGGAGGAAGCCUUGUUGCCCCUGGCCAUGACCUCUGACCCCAGGCCCUUUAAUCAACAACUCCCAGAGCCUCCAGACCCAAGAUGUGUCUUGGAACGCCAGGACAAUCCUGAACUGGCACCCGCCCUGGUGUGUGCUCUUUGUUGCUGCUUUGGAAUCAUCUACUGCUGCUUCGGCUACCGCUGCUUCAAGGCAGUAAUGUUUCUCUCGGGCCUGCUGUCAGGAGCUCUGGUGAUCUUCCUGCUGUGCCACAAGGAGCGAGUGCUAGAGACACAGCUGAGCCUGGAGGUGAGCGCGGGCAUUGCGCUGGGCAUUGGACUCCUCUGUGGCCUGGUCACCAUGUUGGUUCGCAGCGUUGGGCUCUUCCUGACUGGUCUCCUGCUGGGCCUAACCCUGGGUGCCGGGGCCCUGCUGGGCACAGAGCCCAUCUACCAACCACCUUCAGCCUGGGUGCCGGCUGGGGGGCUGGUGGGGCUGGCACUGCUGGGAGCCCUGCUCACGCUUCGGUGGCCACGUCCAUUCACAGUUCUGGGCACAGCCCUGCUGGGUGCUGCGGUGCUGGUGGCCUGUGCUGACUACUUCCUAGAGGGGCUGGCACUGGGCAGUCGGCUGGGCCAACGCUUGCAGGCACUUCCAGCCUUGCCUCCUCUCUGCUGGUAUAGCUGGGUCUUGCUGGGCACCUGGCCAGCCCUGGGGGCCCUUGGGGCCCUAGCCCAGUGGAAGCUCAUGGAUGAGGAACAUGGAGGCCACGCCAAUGUGGUCUUGAGCCACCAGCGAAGGCAUCUUCAACUCCUUCGGAUCCGUCAGCAAGAGGCCAAGUGGCAUCGGACAUCCCCUGGGGUGGGGCUCUGUGAAGGCAGCUACCGGCGCCAGCUUCCCCCCAAUGCCCGGAGCCCUGCUGAUAGUCUGGCUCCUAGUUAUCUCCAGAGCCUUCGAGAGCGCCAACUGGGACCAGGCACCCAGGCCACAGCCCCCAACACCGUCCUGGAUCUGGAUUCUGACUGUGGUUCCACUGUACCCCUCACCACACCUUCUGGUUCCACCCAGACCUGAGCCUAAACCUCCACUGAUGCUUCCAUCCCUAGCAAGGGCCUUGGAACACCAAGUAUGCAGGGCCUGAGCCCACAGGACCCUCACACAAACUUCCCCACCUCUCUCACUGGGGAUAGAAUCUGUACUCCAACCCAGCCCAGCCCUGUAGGGAUAUGUUUCAGGGACAGAUAAAGGGGAAUCUUGUGGGGAGGGGAGAAGAAUGGAAGUAUGAGUACCUACCUCUGUCCAAUAAUAGAGGUGCCCUGGCCCCUAAAGUAACUGACUUCCUAAUUCCCUCCAAACCAAGGAGGGCCCUUACCCAAAAAGCCUUUUAUAUACUUGCCUCAGUGUGCCUCACAAUGGUAAAAUAAGGGCUUUUGUUGUAGGACCUACAGAAAACCAGGAAGCUCCCUAAAGCACUCAAUAGCUAUUUGAUGGGGAGAAGGGCACAAAGGAGCACUAAGAUCACCUAAUCCCUACACCUCUCAUUAGCGGGUGGUUGGCUCCUGGUUAGCCUUUCCUCCUGGGUCCAUAGGCUCAAGUCCCCUUCUCCUACCUCAGUUGGGAGUACUGUCCUCCAUGGUGCUUCCCUUUCUCUCCUAAAUGUGGGGGAGACCACGGGGCAAUGCAUGGUGCAGAACCUGCCUCCCCCCAAAGCUGUCUACUUGUUCCAAGGAGAGACAAUUUUCCCACAUGCCAGAGUUUUGCCCUUUUGCCCAAAGUAGCCCAGUCUUCACGGCUGCAUGGGAGACGAGUGCCUUCUCUGCUUCUCACUAUAGGUGAUGCUAAUCUCCUUAACUAGAACUUUGUCCCAGCCACCAACCCAUUCUAACUCCCUCCUCUGAUUCUCCUGCUCAGUCUGUUCCCUGGUUCCCCAGACAGCAUGAAGGAAGAUAUCUUCCUCCCCUGGGCAACAAAGCUAUGAUGGGAGGGAGGAAGAACACGGAGCAUGUGAAUAAAAUGGCAUUGAACACUGAAC